rnacentral:rRNA from 1 species
CCUACGGGAGGCAGCAGUGAGGAAUAUUGGUCAAUGGACGAGAGUCUGAACCAGCCAAGUAGCGUGAAGGAUGACUGCCCUAUGGGUUGUAAACUUCUUUUAUAUGGGAAUAAAACGUUCCACGUGUGGGAUUUUGUAUGUACCAUAUGAAUAAGGUUCGGCUAACUCCGUGCCAGCAGCCGCGGUAAUACGGAGGAUCCGAGCGUUAUCCGGAUUUAUUGGGUUUAAGGGGAGCGUAGGUGGAUUGUUAAGUCAGUUGUGAAAGUUUGCGGCUCAACCGUGAAAUUGCAGUUGAAACUGGCAGUCUUGAGUACAGUAGAGGUGGGCGGAAUUAGUGGUGUAGCGGUGAAAUGCUUAGAUAUCACGAAGAACUCCGAUUGCGAAGGCAGUUCACUGGACUGCAACUGACACUGAGGCUCGAAAGUGUGGGUAUCAAACAGGAUUAGAUACCCCAGUAGUC